UACGAAGGGGGCUAGCGUUGCUCGGAAUUACUGGGCGUAAAGGGAGCGUAGGCGGACAUUUAAGUCAGGGGUGAAAUCCCGAGGCUCAACCUCGGAACUGCCUUUGAUACUGGGUGUCUUGAGUGUGAGAGAGGUGAGUGGAACUCCGAGUGUAGAGGUGAAAUUCGUAGAUAUUCGGAAGAACACCAGUGGCGAAGGCGACUCACUGGCUCAUUACUGACGCUGAGGUGCGAAAGCGUGGGGAGCAAACAGG
rnacentral:rRNA from 1 species